rnacentral:rRNA from 1 species
UGGGGAAUUCUGGACAAUGGGCGCAAGCCUGAUCCAGCCAUGCCGCGUGCAGGAUGAAGGCCUUCGGGUUGUAAACUGCUUUUGUACGGAACGAAAAGGUGCCUUCUAAUAAAGGGCGCUCAUGACGGUACCGUAAGAAUAAGCACCGGCUAACUACGUGCCAGCAGCCGCGGUAAUACGUAGGGUGCGAGCGUUAAUCGGAAUUACUGGGCGUAAAGCGUGCGCAGGCGGUUUUGUAAGACAGAGGUGAAAUCCCCGGGCUCAACCUGGGAACUGCCUUUGUGACUGCAAGGCUGGAGUGCGGCAGAGNGGGAUGGAAUUCCGCGUGUAGCAGUGAAAUGCGUAGAUAUGCGGAGGAACACCGAUGGCGAAGGCAAUCCCCUGGGCCUGCACUGACGCUCAUGCACGAAAGCGUGGGGAGCAAACA